GGGAUCGUGGCGCAAUGGUAGCGCAACGGGCUUUUAACCCGUGGGCUGUGGGUUCGAGUCCCACCGGUCUCG
rnacentral:tRNA from 1 species